ensembl:lncRNA
AGCACCGCUCCUCACCCACUGCUGUAGGAGCCCCCCCACACCUCCCCUGGCCCAGCAGGGGACAUGUCCCACACUUCUCACCAUCUUGGAGCUGCCUCCCACCAGCAAGAGCCCAGAGCUUCCCCGCAAACCACGCAAGACUGGUGGCCUGGCCCAGAGCGUCCUUGGUCUCCUUACACUUGGGAGGGGCCAGGACCAGGGGUCCCCAGGAAGGAGGGAAGGGAGGGCCUGAGGCAGGCUGUCCCCCGAAUGAUGCCAAGGGACCCACCCACUUCCUCUUGGGAUUCCAGCCGAGGACAGUGUGGUUUGAAGAACGUUCUAAUCCCAGCCCCAGAGCUCUGAGAGAAAAAAUGACUAAAAGCCCUGGAAUGUGGAGCCUGCUGCUUCCUGCAAAGCAUUUUGAAUGAACCACGUAACCAGCAGCUGCAGCGCAGAGAAUGGAAACUGAGAGGGACGUCAUGGCUCCAGGCCCUCAAAUAGCAGGCUUGUGAGCAGAACAAGCUCUCUAUUUCGGCCUAGCUCAGAUGCCCUCAGCACCGACCCCCUCCCCCUCUCCUUCCAGGAACCAGACCCAUCGUGCCAAGGAUGUGCUCCUCUUGCUCACUUUUUCUGAAAACCCAAAGUCCCAGAUUCUUUGCCGAGGAUGGAAGGACCCCCUUCCCACUCAGCAGCCCCCGAGGGCACCUAGGACCCCACAGCCCAGCCACUCUGUUCUCUCCAGAGCAGAAGGUUAGCAGUCACCAGCCCAGUCCCAUCCUGGAAUCAGCCCCAGGCCAAGCAUGGCAGUGCCCACCACCUCCUGCGUUAUCCAAGGCUGCUGUCAGGGUGGAAUCAGGGUGAGGAGGGAAGGACAGAUGGUCCCAAGGGGAGUAAAAGUCCUGGGAGUUAGGGAGUUCCUAAAGAUUGCUCCUGCAGGAAGGGAGGUGACACUAACAUUUUUUCAACUUCUUUGUUGAGAUGUAACACACGUACAGCAAAGCAUGUUAAUCUUAGCGGUGCAGCUCGAUGAAUCCUCUAUGUAUGUAUAUACUGCCUGAAUCAAAACACAGAGUUUUGGAAUACUCCAGCAGAUUCCCUCAAUAUCCAUCCCCCUCAAAGGUAGUCACUCAGAAAUUUCUCCCACCAGCAAGAUUUGCUCAUAUUUGGAUUUCAUUUAAAUGAAAUCACAAAGAGUAUGUGCCCUUGCCCACAGUGUCACAUCUGUGAGAUCCCCAGGGGGUGGACACGUUAGCAGCCCCAUGGCACCUACCAUGCUCCAGGCCCUGAAUGACUAGAUGGCAUGUUGACUUUUUGCACCGAGGCCUUGGUCUUGAGUCCAUUUUGCUGGUAAGAAAGUUAGUUAAAUCAGCAGUUCAUUUCCACAAUCAGGACACAGAGAAGCUGGAACCCAAACCCAGAGGCCACUCCCUCCUCUCUUUUCUCUUUACAAAAGUAAGGAGACCUGCUCCUAUUACACCAAGAAGUGGGAAAGCAUUGCCUUAGAAACCCAUGGCCUGGAAUGUCCUCACAAAGGAAACUGGUUUCAAGCUUCUGUGCACUCCGUUGCCCAAAUGGGAGCCCCAUUUUACUUCAGUCCUCCUAGUGCAUGAGGAUAUAGGUAACACAGAGGGGUGAACAGCGGCAGGAGGGCACUCAGAGCACCAGGCCCAAGAGGAGGAAAAGAAUGAAGAGGUUCACUUAUUUAGCCAGUCAAUAUUUAUUGAGUAGCUACUAUAUGCCAGAUACUACCCUGAGCGGGUACUUUUUGGUUAUCUAUUGCUAUAUAACAAACCACCCUAACAUAGUGGCUUAAAAUGCACAAUAAACACUGAUUAUCUCUCA